UGAGCAAUCUGCCCUUCUCAUCGGAAUAAGCGUUGGAAACGACGUCUAAUGCCGAAUACGACCUACUUUCGCAUGAUCGGAGGUGGAAAGCUCCGGCGGAGAAGGAUGAGCUCGCGGCCUAUCAGCUAGUUGGUGUGGGUAAUGGCCCACCAAGGCGACGACGGGUAGCCGGCCUGAGAGGGUGACCGGCCACACUGGGACUGAGACACGGCCCAGACUCCUACGGGAGCAG
rnacentral:rRNA from 1 species